rnacentral:rRNA from 1 species
GACGAACGCUGGCGGCGUGCUUAACACAUGCAAGUCGAACGGAAGGCCCUGCUUUUGUGGGGUUCUCGAGUGGCGAACGGGUGAGUAACACGUGAGUAACCUGCCCUUGACCUUGGGAUAACUUCAGGAAACUGGGGCUAAUACCGGAUAGGAGCUCCUUCUGCAUGGUGGGGGUUGGAAAGUUUCGGCGGUUGGGGAUGGACUCGCGGCUUAUCAGCUUGUUGGUGGGGUAGUGGCUUACCAAGGCUUUGACGGGUAGCCGGCCUGAGAGGGUGACCGGCCACAUUGGGACUGAGAUACGGCCCAGACUCCUACGGGAGGCAGCAGUGGGGAAUAUUGCACAAUGGGCGGAAGCCUGAUGCAGCAACGCCGCGUGCGGGAUGACGGCCUUCGGGUUGUAAACCGCUUUCGCCUGUGACGAAGCGUGAGUGACGGUAAUGGGUAAAGAAGCACCGGCUAACUACGUG